rnacentral:rRNA from 1 species
CACCGCGGUUAUACGAGAGACUCUAGUUGAUAAACACGGCGUAAAGGGUGGUUAAAGAUAAUACAAAAAUAAAGUCAAACACUCUCUAAGCCGUUAAAAGCACCCUGAGAAUAUGAAGCCCCACCACGAAAGUGACUUUAAUAUAUCCUGACCCCACGAAAGCUAAGAAA